CCUAACACAUGCAAGUCGAACGCGAAAGUAGCCUUCGGGCUGCGAGUAGAGUGGCAAACGGGUGAGUAACGCGUGGGUGACCUACCUUCGAGUGGGGGAUAACGUUUCGAAAGGAACGCUAAUACCGCAUAACAUCCUGCCUUUGGAAAGGUGGUGAUCAAAGCCGGGGAUCGCAAGACCUGGCGCUUGAUGAGGGGCCCGCGUCCGAUUAGCUUGUUGGCGGGGUAACGGCCCACCAAGGCGACAAUCGGUAGCCGGCCUGAGAGGGCGGACGGCCACACUGGGACUGAGACACGGCCCAGACUCCUACGGGAGGCAGCAGUGGGGAAUUGUUCGCAAUGGGCGAAAGCCUGACGACGCAACGCCGCGUGGAGGACGAAAACCUUCGGGUCGUAAACUCCUGUCGAGCGGGACGAAUACUGCCUGGGUUAAUAACCCAGGCGGCUGACGGUACCGUUAAAGGAAGCCCCGGCUAACUCCGUGCCAGCAGCCGCGGUAAUACGGGGGGGGCAAGCGUUGUUCGGAUUUACUGGGCGUAAAGAGCUCGUAGGCGGCUUGCUUAGUCGAACGUGAAAUCCCUUGGCUCAACUGAGGAACUGCGUCCGAUACUGGCAGGCUUGAAUCCGGGAGAGGGAUGCGGAAUUCCAGGUGUAGCGGUGAAAUGCGUAGAUAUCUGGAGGAACACCGGUGGCGAAGGCGGCAUCCUGGACCGGCAUUGACGCUGAGGAGCGAAAGCCAGGGUAGCAAACGGGAUUAGAUACCCCGGUAGUCCUGGCCCUAAACGAUGAAUGCUUGGUGUGGCGGGUAUCGAUCCCUGCUGUGCCGAAGCUAACGCAUUAAGCAUUCCGNCUGGGGAGUA
rnacentral:rRNA from 1 species